rnacentral:rRNA from 1 species
CAGCCGCCGCGGGAAUACGAAGGGUGCAAGCGUUACUCGGAAUUACUGGGCGUAAAGCGUGCGUAGGUGGUGGUUUAAGUCCGUUGUGUAAGCCCUGGGCUCAACCUGGGAAUUGCAGUGGAUACUGGGUCACUAGAGUGUGGUAGAGGAUAGUGGAAUUUCCGGUGUAGCAGUGAAAUGCGUAGAGAUCGGAAGGAACAUCUGUGGCGAAGGCGACUAUCUGGGCCAACACUGACACUGAGGCACGAAAGCGUGGGGAGCAAACAGGAUUAGAUACCCGCGUAGUCCCUGUCUCUUAUAC